rnacentral:rRNA from 1 species
AUCUAUAGCCAUACCACCCCGCAUGCACCCAAUCACAUCUGAUCUCAAAAGCUACACAGGGUCUGGCCUGGUUAAAUAUUCAGAUGGGAGAACAAAACAAUUAUUUCUUGUGGGGA